rnacentral:pre_miRNA from 1 species
UAUAUACUUCCUCCGUCCAGAAAUACUUGUCGGAGGAAUGGAUGUAUCUAGACAUAUCUUAGUUCUAGAUAUAUUCAUUUUUAUCCAUUUUUUCGACAAGUAUUUCCGAACGGAGGGAGUAAUAU